rnacentral:tmRNA from 1 species
GGGGUUGACUGGUUUUGACAGCGUGUAGAAGCGGUGAGCAAGCAUGCAGAGCAAUGAUGGCUACGCUCUUUAAACAGGGACAUCGAAAAUUCAAAUGGCGAAAACAACUACGCUCUCGCUGCUUGAUUGAAGUAUAGUAGAUCAGCUUUAUUUCUGCAAUAGAUGCGGAAACGAGACAUCGCCCGAGAGUCGUCGUCCCGAGACUCCUCGAUCAGGCGGUGCAGCAAAAUCGGGAAUAGGAGACCAAGAGCUUCGCGCGGCCUCCGAAAUCCACAGAAGCUAAGGUGACGGUUGGCGGUCACGAGCCUGCCGGCACACGAAAACCAAUUCGCGACUAAGCAUGUAGAAACCUCAUUGGUUCCAUGACUGGACGGGGGUUCAAGUCCCCCCAACUCCACUU